rnacentral:misc_RNA from 1 species
GUGCAUGUUGUGUUGGGUUUGUUAUUAGAUUUAUAUAGCUUGUGGAAUGGAUUUUAACCUUAAAAAUUGACUGAGAAAUUUUGUGGUGACUAAAUUUGAUUUAUUUUGUGCUAGUGGAUGCAUACCCACACACACCCACGAACAUCAGUUUGCACUAGGCAUUUAUAUCAGUUUGCAAUCAUAUUGAUACAAGAAAACCCUGUAUGCAAACAUGAUGGGUUGUAAAAUCUGCAAUAAG